GCUGAGAGCAAAAGUGUAGCCAUUGGCUGGAGGCCAUAGCAGGAAUCUCUACAUUCUCUUUUCCUAGAAGUGCGUGGGGGCUCACGCUUAGAAAUGGUGUAGUGGCGUACGCGCAGUGGCUAGUCUUCUCUCGAAUAUUCUGGGAGGAACAGUAAAGACAAUUUUGAGAGUCCUAUUUGCAGCCAAAGACGUUGAGAUCAAGGCUCUCAAACAAAAAAGAGUAAUAAAAGCCUCUUCCAUCUUCAGAAUAAGUAGAACCAUCCUAUCUGGGAACCUUGCUGAUGUGGGAGGCAGUAGAGAAUUGGGCAUAAUAAUGGAACAUUCCUGAAGUUUGGCAGAACUCCUGUCUUGGACAGAUGGGGGGCUGAGAGGCAUGGUAGAGCCCUGAGUUCCUGGGCUGGAAGUGGGCAUGAGGCUGUGAUAAAUGGAGCCAAGAGGAUAAUUACCAGUAUUUGCAGCAUCAGAAGAAAUUACAAUAUGAAAAGAAAGAAGGCUAGAAUGACCCCUAUGAUGCUGGAUUGGAAUAAAAAGUAUCAGGAGCAAGAUGGUGGAAUAGGAGUUUUCUACUGUUGUCCCACCAUAGAACAUCCAUCUUGACAAUCACUCACAGAUUUCCAUUUGCUUAGUAACUUUCCAUCAGCAGCAUUGGAAAUAGGAAUGAGUCACUACCUACUGCAUGGGAUUAAGGAAUUAAAGGAGGAACCAAGCAAACAUGAGGAACUGAUCACAUGAUAGGACAGUCAUACCCUGGAAAUACCUGGUAAGUAACCGUUAAUUUACAAGAUUAUUUCAUGUCCUAUCACAGCAAGCUAGUUAAAGGAAUAGGGUAGCACUACCUCACCUAAAUAAGACCAAGAGAAUGAAAGUAAGCAAAAACAUUACACCGAGAGACACUUUUAGGCAUAUCACAAAUUCAUGCACUUUAGUCAUAAGAGAGCCCAUUAAGUUCUCGCUCAAAACUUAUUAAUUCUUCUAGCCCGUUUUAACAAUCUGUGAAUUCCCUGCACAACAGAAAACGAGAAGCAGCAAAUUAGAAUGGGGACUAUCAGUAGAGGUCUUGUCAGCAACAAAAACCAAAAGCCAAGAGAGAAAACAGGAAAGCUAUUCAAUGUAAAAUUAAAAACUCAAAACAUAGUUGUCUUGGGCCUGUGAAUGUAGGUCAAACAUUCAUGCACUUCUCAAGAGCCCGUGAAUGUGUAAUUAUAUUGAAAGCACAACACAAUCAUUUAGGUCAAUUGUGAGGACAUAUAUGAUUAAUAAAAGGUCAAUUUCUCUUCAGGAUAUGCUGUCCAAUAAAGCUUAGACAAUUAUGACAACUUUCUAGAAGAUUUGCAUCAAAAUGAUAAGUGAAAAACAAUUUGGGUGCUGAAAAGGAUAAAUACCAUUAUAUGAUGCUGAGAAAUGAAAGAAUACAUGAUGUUUACACAUUCUCCUAAGCUUUUCUCUCAAAAAAAACCAACUAUAUAGACUUGGGAAAAACUUAUCUCAAAAGCCAUUUAUUUUAUGAUCUCAAUGUCUUUUUAGUUCUUUAAAUUCACUGGCAAGCAGUAAUCACCAGCUUAUGCCUCCUUCAGGUCAUUAAGUUAAUUAGAAUACUCUUUCUCAGAAGUUGCUCUGCUAUGAGCUCUUGCCAGUUGUUAGGAAUUUAAAGUCGUCACCAUGGUUGAAAGAAGACUCUUUGACACAUUGAUAGAAGGUGCCCAUAAUAGCAAGGCACUGUCCAAAAUGCCAGGGACACAAGGAUGAAUUUUAAAAUGUCACUCUCCUAGAGUUCCCCAUCUUCUCAGAAGAGCACAUCAGCAAAUACGUGCCAUUACAGAAAGCAAGUUACAGAAAUAAAGAGUGGUUAGAUACUAUGCAAGGCACAAAAGAGGAAGUGGUCAACUCGACCCAAGGAAGCGGAAUGAAUGCUUCACAGAGUGGCACUUGAAUCCUGAAGGACGAAUGGGAGUUGACCUGGUGAGGAGGCAGAAAAGAACAUUCCAGAUGGGUGUGAUAGCAUAGAAUAUAGUGGUGAAUUUGUGAUAGUUCACUUUGUUUGCAACACAGCAUCAGGGCAUUUGAGAGGAACCAUUGAAAGAGGGCUGAGAGGAGGACCCCUCUCUCUGCCUUGUCAUCUCUUUUCAAGUUUCCUUCCUUCUGUGCAGUUGACAUAUGGGACAGAGCAAGUCCAGCGUCUAAGCAGAUGCCUAGUAAAAACUGAAAACAGUAUGCCCACUUUACAGUUGAGGAAACUGAUGCUCAGAAAAGUUAAACCACAUACCUAAUCCUCCUCUCUUUCUCUCUCGUUGUAUAAUACUUGUCUUAAAACUAGAAAAUUAAAACAUAUGCCUUCUAUGUUCUCAAGUGAGUUUAAAAUCUUAUUUAUUAGUUCCAGAGGACUUAAAGACCUUAUUGAAAACUGUACGAGAGAAUGGAGUUUUGAUGGCAUUUCUUUUUAAAUAUUCAUGAAGUAAUGGUGCCAUUCUUUUUUUGAAAAAACAGCUUUUUUUUGAAAAUUAAUUGACAAUUCAGCCAUGUAAGAUAUCUAAUUCAAUGAUUUUUAGUAUAUUCACAGAACUGUGCAUCUAUCACAACUUAAGAAUAUUUUCAUUUUCUCAAAAAUAAACACUGCAUCCUUAAGCCUCUAACCCCAUUUCCUCCCAACUGCCCCAGAUCUAGGCAACCACUAAUCUACUUUUUGUCUAUACAGAUUGGUCUC